CCGGCGACCGGCGCACGGGUGAGUAACACGUAUGCAACCUGCCCGUCUCAGGGGGAUAAUCGUCGGAAACGGCGUCUAAUACCCCGUAUGAAGCUGGACGGCAUCGUCUGGUUUUGAAAGAAUAUCGGAGACGGAUGGGCAUGCGGCGCAUUAGCUAGUUGGCGGGGUAACGGCCCACCAAGGCGACGAUGCGUAGGGGUUCUGAGAGGAAGGUCCCCCACACUGGUACUGAGACAUGGACCAGACUCCUACGGAAGGCAGCAG
rnacentral:rRNA from 1 species